rnacentral:rRNA from 1 species
UACGUAGGGUGCGAGCGUUGUCCGGAAUUAUUGGGCGUAAAGGGCUCGUAGGCGGUUUGUCGCGUCGGGAGUGAAAACCUCGGGCUUAACUCGGGGCUUGCUUUCGAUACGGGCAGACUAGAGGUAUGCAGGGGAGAACGGAAUUCCUGGUGUAGCGGUGAAAUGCGCAGAUAUCAGGAGGAACACCGGUGGCGAAGGCGGUUCUCUGGGCAUGAUCUGACGCUGAGGAGCGAAAGCAUGGGGAGCGAACAGG